CCUACGGGUGGCAGCAGUGAGGAAUAUUGGUCAAUGGGCGCGAGCCUGAACCAGCCAAGUAGCGUGAAGGCUGACUGCCCUACGGGUUGUAAACUUCUUUUCUAAAGGAAUAAAGUGAGGCACGUGUGCCUUUUUGUCUGUACUUUAUUAAUAAGGAUCUGCUAACUCCGUGCCAGCAGCCGCGGUAUUACGGAGGAUCCGAGCGUUAUCCGGAUUUAUUGGGUUUAAAGUGAGCGUAGAUGGGUUGUUAAGUCAGUUGGGAAAGUGUGCGGCUCAACCGUAAAAUAGCAAUUGAAACUGGCAGUCUUGAGUACAGAUGAGGUAGGCGGAAUUCGUGGUGUAGCGGUGAAAUGCUUAGAUAUCACGAAGAACACCGAUUGCGAAGGCAGCUUACUAAACUGCCACUGACAUUGAUGCUCGAAAGUGUGGGUAGCAAACAGGAUUAGAUACCCUAGUAGUC
rnacentral:rRNA from 1 species